UUGUUUUUUUUUUUUUUUUUUUUUUACUUGAAACAAAGUCUCAGCACAGCAGCCCGAUGCACGGCGACGCCAGGCAGUCGACGGUCUGAGAGAAGGACUAAGGCGCUAGUGCGGAUUUGUUGGCUAUCCAUAGCUGUCUGAAGAUACCUGGUAUCAGAACUAACAGUUCAAAUCAACUCUGAGAAUUAAAUGGCAGCAGAACUCUUUACCUAGUGCUACAGAGGACUGGAAGACAAGAGAAUGACGAAAAUUAAAUCUCUUCCAAGAAAAUGGUGAGAUUAGGCUUUCUGUAUAUUUAUGAAUCCUGAAAAAAUGCUUGGAUGAAAUCAGCAUCACCAAUUCACUCCUGUUGUUCUCCCUCAUACUGUGAGUCUUUCCAAAUCAGUAGCAAAAAUAGGAAUGAUUGAAACAGUGAAGCUGUGAACAUUACAAGAUGCACACUCCAACAAACAUAAAAUGCGUGAGUGCCUGGUGAGCAUUAGGAAAUCUGUCACUAUGAACAAUUGAAGAUGACAAGUUUAAAUAGACCGAGGAAUUCCAGUGUUAACUUACUCUGAAACAAAACAUUUUCAAAAUUUUCAUGAUCACCUUUUUUUUAAACUGAAGAUUAGCUGCAUGAAAAUAAGUUCAUUUAAAUUCCUUUUACAUAAAUGAAAAAAAUAAAAGAUUCUGCGAAAACUAUUAAAAAUGGACAGAAGAGCAUUUGUGCACUGCUCAUUUUCCCUUAUUUUUGCUAGAACUUUUAAGAACACCUUUCCAUACUUGCAGUCUGGAUGACUAAUCCAAUGUUACAGCCUCUCAUGGGGUGCUGACGGUACCUUGGCUAAAAAGUCCUCAGUUUUCUGUUGUUUUCUUGAAAAGAAGAGAAUGCUCUAUGUUUGAACUGUCUACUGUUUUCAUAAAUGACUUGUGAGAGUCUUAUGUGAUUCUGUACUGGAAGAGUUCAAGUCCUGCAGAGACGCCCCAUCAGGCAGCUUCAGGAGCACCUACCAUGCUGGCUCUCACAGCAAAGUGGCAAGCACGGGGAGCGACCAUUAAAAGCAUUACAAGCAGUUUGCCUCCAGAGUAUUUUGUUCUGUGAGUUGUUUUAGCUGGUUAAAUUCUACAGAGAAGAAGAUGGGAAAUGAUAAUGAGGGCUAAGGAGAAUGGGACUGUCUUGAGAUAGUUAAUACCCCUCUCAGUAGGCAGAUAGAUUAUCUGAAAGGAGGAACAAAAAUUGCAUUUUUUGAAAGCAACUCUAAGCUUCAGGGAGCCAGGGAAAUUGUUCUCUGUUGUAUUUGUGGGCAUAGUCUCAUCUGUGAGAUGUUUAAAUAUGAGUACCCUUUUAGCACAUAACUUCUGCUCAUUUAGCUAUUUAAAUACUUUUGUUGAUUUUAGUUUUAAACUUUAAUCUAAAUGCAGGAAAAGCAGAAUACCAAGGAAAUCUUUGUAGUGUCUGUGGACAUAAUAAGGGCAAAGUGUCAGAAAGUAGGUUUCUGUCUUUUGUACAGUGAGUAUAUUCUAGUAUAAAGACUUUGUAAAUGACCUGUACACUUUCAUAUUUCAACUUUCUUACUUAUACUGCAUGUUAGAUGGAAGUGCUAACUUUAAAAUUAGUCAUCCUAGUGUGCUAAGCACUGCAAAAAGAUGGAUGUUUUGAACAUAACAGGCUUUACAUUAAACUCCAGCACAGAUUAGAUGAAUUGUGGAAUUAUGCCUAAUACUCUUAAGGGGUUUUAGUGAUCAAACACACAGUAGAUUCAUGCUGACAUUAGGUCUAGCACGUCUAAAAAACACAUAACAGACAUCCAGCAUCCUACAGACCUGCAGUCCUACUGGUUUAUGUUUAAAUGUUUAUGGUGUAAAAAUGUUGACUGAAAAAGCCCAUUUUUUUUUUUUUAUAGUCAACAGUAACUCCAGUGGUGUUUCUGGGCGGUCCUGUCCCUGUGUAUUUCACGGACUGCAUGAUUGCUGUAUGUGAGCAAGCAUACAUACAGCAAGCAAUACUACUGCAAUACUGUGCAAUCUACUGCAAUACUGUGUGGCCCUCUUACACUCCUUACUAUGUAGGGUGGAACAAACUGAAAAAACAAAUUUGAUCUGUGUGGCAAAGUUUUGGUAGCUGGGGGCUGUGUGAGCAGCCUUUGUGGGGAGACAUCAGGGACUGCCCUUACAUCAGAGAGAGAUCCAGCUGGCUCCAAGACAGACCCACCACUAAGUAAAGCUGAACCCAUCAGAAACAGCAGGAGCAUCUCUGUGGUAGCAUAUUUAAGAAAGAGAAAAAUGCAUCCAUCAGAAGCUGGAAUAGAGGAUUGAGAAUAUGAAAGAGAAACAACUCUGUAGGCCCCAAGGUCAGUGAAGAAAGAGGGGGAGGAGUUAAUCCAGGCAUACAACUGGAGCUUCUCCUCUCCUACAGCCUGCAGAGAGAGUGUAGUGACCGGUUUUUCCUUGCAUCCGAUGGAUAUCCUCUGUGGAGCAAACAGCCACCUGCUGCCUGUAGACAACCCCACAUCAGGUGAAUAGCCCUUGAAAGCAGCUGUGAGUCAUGAAGGGCCUAUGCUUGACCUCCUGCCAGGAACUGCAGACUGUGGAGCGGACACCAGACAGGAGAAAGUCUGCUGUCAGACUGUGACCCUGUGCCCAAGGACAGCACUCCACUGCAGGACCCAGGCCGGACCAGUUAGCCUGGGGGAAGGACUAAUGUUGGAGAAGUUCAUGAAGAACUGUCUCCAAUGGGAAAUUCCUUGUGAUGGAGCAAAGGAAGAGUGUGAGGAGGAAGGAACAGCAAAGAUGGAGUGUUAUGAACCAACUGCAAUUGACCCUUUUCCCCAUCCCACUGCACCACUUGAGGUGCAGGAGUUAAAAGAGAUGAGAGUGAAGCUGAGCCUAGGAAGAAGGGAAAGGUGGGGGAAAUAUGGGGCUUUUUAAAAAAUUUUGUUCUUAUUUCUUAUUAUUUUAUUCUGCCUGGUAAUAACUCAAAUUUAUUUUCCCAAGUCCAGUCUGUUUUCCCUGUGACAAUUGGUAAAUGAUCUCUGUUAUCUCUGUCCAUGUGUUCUUCAUUGUAUCUCUGUCCUGUUAAGGAGCAAAUGUGAUAGAGUGGCUUGGUGGGUGCCUGACAACUGGCCAAGGUCAACCACCACAAAAUAAUAAAGAUUAUUUUUUCUGAAGCUGAGACUGUGGAAAAUAGGAAGGAUACAGAAAAGUAACUCAUGAGGGAUGAGAACAAAGUCCCCAAAACACUGAGCUUCAUCUAUGCACUAGGCUAUGCAAUGUAAUUAGAAACGUGAUUAAUCAUGGCUUAGUUACCAGUCUGAAUCUGUCCUGAUGAAACAAGAUUUAAACUUGCAGAAAAAUGUCUGUUCAUACGAUAGGAUAGUUAAACUAGGAUGAAAAGAUAAGAGAGUCCAGUAGAACUUGAUGGCAUAGACGAAUUUCAGACUAAUGUAAAAACAGCUCCUAAACAGUUGAAGAUAUGCAAGGCUUCUUUUUUUAAAAUAAAUUUCAUAAUAAAUUGUUUAAUCAAAAAUGACUGUGUUUGUUUCUACUUUUUUUUUCCUUUUUAAGCUUCUCGUAUUACUUCUGCAUUCACCUGCGUGACUCCUGAAUCACUCGGUCUAUGUGAGCCGUGGUAGACAUGACUGUAGCAUUUGAAUAUUGAAAUUGAAACAUCUGAAUUAAACUUCCCCUUGCAGAAACACUUGUCAGUUACUGAAGUGAUCUGUUUCCCCUGUGAACUGAUGCAUAAGGGAUUUUAAACAUGUGCCACUGAAGUGCAUUUUAAAGGCUGUUUUUUAAAAAACCUUUUGUACAAUGCUGAAAUCUAUUUAACUUUCUCUU